GGGACUCAUGCCAAAUCCAAAAGCCGGUACUGUUUCGACUAAUAUACCUCAGGUAUAUUUUGCUUCUUCUGCUUUUACUCUUUGUUUUUCCCUUGCAUUGGAUAUAUUGUUUUGAUUCUCAACUCGAAUUGUUAUUCAACAACACACAUUAAGUAUUUUGAGAUGCACACGAGCAUGUCAGUUUGCAUUUGCGGCAUCAAGUCAUUUAAGUCAUAAUGGAAUCAGAGAGAAACAAUAAUAAUGGAUUUC
rnacentral:misc_RNA from 1 species